GCACCACGGAGCAUCAUCCCGACGCGAUACGAAGCGACACGAAGCGACGCGACGGGCCCGAGGAGUAUCGAAGGACAGUAGCACAUCCGGCCGUACGCGAGAUCGUGCGCCUUCGGAAGGCGUCGUGGAUUUUCGUGGAUCGCCUGGGGGCCCUACGAGCGUAACGCCGGUAGCCACUACGCCAAAAGGGUCGCAUGGCGCGAGAAGAGAAAAAAGAGAGAUAAAAGGACAGAAGGAGAGAAAAACAGAAUGAAAGAAUCGGGCGAGGACGAAAGAUCCAGCAGCCGAGGUCGGAGAAGGAGAGGACAGAGGCUCGGUAGAACUGGCAUCUUUUCUUCAAGAUGCAUUCAGACUCGGGACAAGAAUCUAGAGUCACGAUAUUUCUCGUUUCAUUUCACACAGGUUACCGUAGUCGAGAAUGAUUAGGGCUGAUCGAUGGCGGGACAUGUACGAAAGCUAGAUUUCCGCGAAAGGCUCUCGAAGGUACGAACGUAACUUAUGAUUUAAAGUAUCAGGAUCUGCAACUUCCACCGGCGGUGUCAUAAUCGGUUUUGUAUCUGUCCGCCUGAGUCGACAAGCGGUACGAGAGCUGAGUGAGCAAAAAUAAAUGGCAAUUAAAAUUCCACUCGCGUCUCAGUGCCCUGUAGAGAGACGUGAAGCGUUGUAGAAACGAAAGAAAAGGAGCGGAACAGAACGAAACGGGAGGAAGCGAGAGGAAGCCCGAGUGCGGGGAGGAUGAAGCGAGAUCAAGCGUUAGCGAGCGAGAGGAAGCGAGAGAGGGACGUAGAAAGGAACAAAAAUUCUAGAAACCUGGUAAACAGAGGAGGACAAUGCGACUGUUCGCGGAUGCGUGUGCAGGCUGCGGGGUGCACGGACCCGGGUGCACUUCGAAUUACACGAUUUUCGAUAUUGCUUCGAAUAUUUCGUGAUUUUUUUGCAGAAAAUAUUACGCAUGUAUAAAAUAAUCGUUCGACGUUAAACGUUCUUUACGAUCGAAGGUUAAUUUUCGUCUUCGCGAAUUCGUUUCUAGACUUUCGAAAUUCCUCAACGUUACGUCAUUAUUUCGUCGUCCGUGCUCAUCGGUCAGAUUGUCGAACAUUCAAGAAAACAGACACAGAGGUCCGAUUGUCCAUUGUGAAAACCGUGAAUCUCAUUCUUUUUCGAAGAUCUUGUGUAUUCGUGUUAAUUUACUUGUUUACCUGUCUUCGUACGAAAACAAUAACAGCCUUUAAACAUAUGUAUACGAAACGAACAAUGAGAAUCGUCGAACUAUUGCGUCAGAUGAAAAUAAGAACGGUUUUUCACUGGUAUGCGGAGCGUACCAAAUACAUGGUACGUAUGUUCCAAUUUAGCUGGAAAAUAUCGAAGCAUUUUUACACAUAAUUAAUUUACGUUUAGUUUUAUGAUACGAUUAGCUUACGAUUAGCUUACUCGGGGCAAGGGAAAGAUUCUCCUCAAUCUAUAAAGCGAUGCAGAACGAUAGUCCGAACGAUAGCUCUAAUAAACAAAUCGGUGGAUGAAUUUUGUGAGCUGUCGACGGUUACAGAAAUUGGACAAUGUUGAGGAACAGUGGAAAUAAGAUCAAUAACAUUUCUUACGAUUGCUUCUUAUCCGAUCAUAUUAAUUCACGCGUAUGUAGGUACAGUAUCUUUCUGAACAUUGCUCGACGUUUCAUUCGAUAUACGGUGUUAUUAUCGAUAUGUCGUUCAAAGUCUAUACACUAUACAUAUAUAUGUACGCGUACGUGUACUCGAGGAAUCAAAAAUAAAUUCAACAUAACCGCGGAAUAUACAAACAAA